ACCCGCUGAACUUAAGCAUAUCAGUCAGCGGAGGAAAAGAAACCAAACGGGAUCCCUGUAGUAACUGCGAGUGAAGUAGGGAGAGCUCAGGCUGAAUCCGAAGUCCAUGAGGGCGGAGGAGUUGUGGCCUUUGAUCUGCGGAGGAAGCUGUGCGAGGGCGGCGAAGUACCCUGGAAGGGGUCGCCAAAGAAGGUUAAAGUCCUGUAGCCAACCGAGCAUGGUGAACGAAGUGGAUUUAGAGUCAGGCUGCUUGGGAACGUAGCCUAAAGUGGGAGGUGUGACCCUCCUAAAGCUAAAUACUGGGUGGUAGACCGAUAGUAGACAAGUACCGCGAGGGAAAGUUGAAAAGCACUCUGAAGAGAGAGUCAAAAGUACCUGAAGUCGUCAUCGGGGAAGCGGCUGAAGGAGUCAGAAAGGUGCUGUAGUUCACCUUAGGUCGCUGAGAUCGGGCUGGUGGAGAGGCGUUCACGGGCGUCCGAAGCUGGUUCGGUCGAGGUAUCCUGAGGGCAUUCUGCGGUGCUUACUCGGCAUUUACCCUCCGAUUCGGGGAAUGGGGAUGGGUAGGUACCUACGAAAGUGGGGAGACCCGUCUUAGAUACGGAUUGG
rnacentral:rRNA from 1 species